rnacentral:rRNA from 1 species
AAAUUGAAGAGUUUGAUCAUGGCUCAGAUUGAACGCUGGCGGCAGGCCUAACACAUGUAAGUCGAACGGUAACAGGAAGCAGCUUGCUGCUUUGCUGACGAGUGGCGGACGGGUGAGUAAUGUCUGGGAAACUGCCCGAUGGAGGGGGAUAACUACUGGAAACGGUAGCUAAUACCGCAUAACGUCGCAAGACCAAAGAGGGGGACCUUCGGGCCUCUUGCCAUCGGAUGUGCCCAGAUGGGAUUAGCUAGUAGGUGGGGUAA